UACUAUGGAGAGUUUGAUCCUGGCUCAGGAUGAACGCUAGCGGGAGGCUUAAUACAUGCAAGUCGAGCGAGAAGGUUUUAGCUUGCUAAGACCGGACAGCGGCGCACGGGUGAGUAACGCGUACGCAAUCUACCUCUUAGAGGGGAAUAGCCCUGGGAAACUGGGAUUAAUGCCCCAUAGUAUCGAGAAGUGGCAUCACUCUUCGAUUAAAGAUCCGUCGCUAAGAGAUGAGCGUGCGUGCUAUUAGCUAGUUGGUAAGGUAACGGCUUACCAAGGCUACGAUAGCUAGGGGGCGUGAGAGCGUGAUCCCCCACACGGGUACUGAGACACGGACCCGACUCCUACGGGAGGCAGCAGUAAGGAAUAUUGGACAAUGGGCGCAAGCCUGAUCCAGCCAUCCCGCGUG
rnacentral:rRNA from 1 species